rnacentral:lncRNA from 1 species
AUGAGAGUCUUCUGUGGCAUCCUCAAUAGUAGUAGCCAAAGCCAGAGCCAUAGCCAGAGCCACAUCCAUAGCCACAGCCAUAGAGAGGGCGGGAGCCACAGCCAUAGCCACUUCCACAGAGAGAGCGGGAGCCAUAGCCAUAGCCACAGCCAUAGCCACAGCCCAGCCUGCGGAAGCCAGAGCCGUAGCAGGAGCCAUAGCCACAGCCCAGGCCUCCAUAGCCGUAGCUUCCACAGCCGAGGCCGCCAUAGUAGUUUCCGUAGUAGUUUCCGUAGUAGCCACACAUGGUGUUGCUUGUUGAGGUUGUUCUCGGGUAGAGAAUGAGAGUAGAAGUGUCACUUGAGUGUGGACAUUUCUCCCUGCAGAGGGCCUUUUAUAUGCUCUCAGUGUGGGUGUGACUCACCACACCUUCAUGCCAUUGGCUAACUUUAUGACUGAUCUAAUUAGUUUGUUGUUCACAACCAAAGAUGAAACCUCAGAGAAAUUCAACAGACUUGCCGCGUUGACAUCUCAGUUUGGAUUCCUUUUAUUUAAUUGAGC